GAUGAACGCUGGCGGCGUGCUUAAUACAUGCAAGUCGAGCGGUAAGGUUCUGCACUUAGUAUUUGAACGGAUAAGUCCCUAUAAGGAAACUGUCUGAAAACGUUAACUCUGGCUAGAGUAAACGGUCGAAUUUUAAGUGUAGAAUACACGAGCGGCGGACGGGUGAGUAACGCGUAAGAAUGUACCCCAAAGUGAGGGAUAAUUCCGGGAAACCGGGACUAAUACCGCAUGUGCUCUUCGGAGUAAAGCUUUAUGCGCUUUGGGAACAGCUUGCGUCUGAUUAGCUAGUUGGUAAGGUAACGGCUUACCAAGGCGACGAUCAGUAGCUGGUCUGAGAGGAUGACCAGCCACACUGGGACUGAGACACGGCCCAGACUCCUACGGGAGGCAGCAGUAGGGAAUUUUCCACAAUGGGCGAGAGCCUGAUGGAGCAACGCCGCGUGCAGGAUGAAGGCCUUAGGGUCGUAAACUGCUUUUGUCUGUGACGAAUAUGACGGUAACAGACGA
rnacentral:rRNA from 1 species